GACGAGCCUCACAAACGUUAUUCGGAAUUACUGGGCUUAAAGGGUGCGUAGGCGGCGCGGAAAGUUGGGUGUGAAAUCCCUCGGCUCAACCGAGGAACUGCGCCCAAAACUACCGUGCUCGAGGAAGAUAGAGGUGAGCGGAACUCACGGUGGAGCGGUGAAAUGCGUUGAUAUCGUGAGGAACACCCGUGGCGAAAGCGGCUCACUGGGUCUUUUCUGACGCUGAUGCACGAAAGCUAGGGGAGCAAACGGG
rnacentral:rRNA from 1 species